GUUAGGAAUAUUGGACAAUGGGCGCAAGCCUGAUCCAGCCAUGCCGCGUGAGUGGUGAAGGCCUUCGGGUUGUAAAGCUCUUUAGCCGAUGAUUAUAAUGACUGUAGUCGGAAAAUAAGCCCCGGCUAACUUCGUGCCAGCAGCCGCGGUAAUACGAAGGGGGCGAGCGUUAUUCGGAAUCACUGGGCGUAAAGCGUGCGUAGGCGGCUUUGCAAGUUGGGAGUGAAAGCCCAGGGCUCAACCCUGGAAUUGCUCUCAAAACUGCAAGGCUCGAAUUCGGGAGAGGAUAGCGGAAUUGUCAGUGUAGCAGUGAAAUGCGUAGAUAUUGACAGGAACACCAGUGGCGUAAGCGGCUAUCUGGACCGAUAUUGACGCUGAGGCACGAAAGCGUGGGGAUCAAACAGGAUUAGAAACCCGAGUAGUCC
rnacentral:rRNA from 1 species